UCACAGUACUUGUUGACAAACAAAAAGUGUAACCGCCCUUCACCGUUCCUCUCUUUUGCGUGCUCAACACACACAUUUCAUUUCAAUUCCCGAUUACUCAUUUUCCCUUUUCCUCAUUUCUCCGAUGACCGGCGGCGAUAACCGUUACCGGACGGAGAAUUAAAAAAAAAAUAGCUCUCUCUCCUUUAUCUCCUUUUCAGCUGGCAUGUCUGAAGACAACGACCUUACGCUACAGACUUUCCGAGCGCUGGUGGAGAGUGCGGACCACAAAUUCGCUAGGGUUCGCGACGUUCCAGCUUACGGUCGCGUGAACCAAAACCACUUCUUCCACAAAGUUUUCAAAGCCUACACGCGCCUAUGGAAGUACCAGCAAGAAAAUCGCGCGAAGCUGGUUCAGUGCGGUCUCAAGCGAUGGGAAAUCGGCGAGAUCGCGAGCCGAAUUGGUCAACUGUACUUCGGUCAGUAUAUGAGAGCUAGCGAGAGUAGGUUUCUCGUUGAAGCUUACGUUUUCUAUGAAGCUAUACUUAGCAGAAGGUACUUUGAAGGAUCCGAAGCUUCGUUGAAAGAUCUAGGUGUUCGGUCUAAGGAGUUGCGGUUUUAUGCAAGGUUUUUGUUGGUUUCUUUGAUUCUGAACCGCACUGAGAUGGUCAAACAUCUAAUGGACCGGUUGGUGGCUUUGGUUGAUGAUUGCAAGAGUACCUUCCGGGAUACUAACUUUAAAGAAUGGAAACAAGUGGUGCAAGAGAUUGUCCGCUUCACAAACGCAGAUAAGGGAUUUAGCUUCAGGCCUAUGCGUUAUUGUACUACAUUUGAUUCUCAUCGGGCUUCUCUUCCUUAUGUGGCCCGUUUUCAUGCAAAAAGGGUUUUAAAAUUUCAUGAUGCACUCUUAGCAAGCUAUCAUCGAAAUGAGGUCAAAUUUGCCGAGCUUACAUUGGACAUCUAUAGAAUGAUACAGUGUUUAGAAUGGGAGCCUAGUGGAUUAUUCUACCAAAAGCAGAUAGUUAGACCUAAGGAAAAUGGUGACGUGAUUGAUCAUUCAGGAGCUUCUGGGAUAAUAGACAUGAACCUUGCUGCAGAUAUGACAGAUCCAACUAUACCUUCUAAUCCUAGAAAGGCUACCUUGUAUCGUCCAUCUGUGACACACGUGAUAGCAGUUAUGGCAACAAUUUGUGAGGAGCUGCCACCAGACAGUGUUGUGCUAGUAUAUCUUUCAGCAUCAGGGAAGGCUGGUCUUAAUAAUGUCUCUCAGAUGGAAAAUUCUGGAGGGUCAUCCAAAUAUUCGAGACGCAAAGUCCUUUCUCAGUCUUCCGAUGAGCUGAACUCUGGAACCUCAGAAUCUCAAAAUAAUGGCAAUAGGGAAUCGAGUUGUCAUCAUGAUAAUGACAAUUAUAUGUGGUUUGGUUCCAAGGGAAAUAGUGGUUCAAAUAACCUCUAUCCCGGCGAUCUUAUUCCCUUCACUCGGAAACCUCUCUUCUUGAUUAUUGAUAGUGAUAACAGCCAUGCAUUCAAGGCAGGUUUGUCCAAACUUGUGUUUUACAUGGUGCUGAAAGGGGAGAGACAGCUGCUCUGUUUCUUUCACCUUUAAGCCCAAUUUUUAAGAACCCGGCUGAUGUAAAUGUACAUAGUGGAAGCCAAUUUACCUUUUUCUUGACAGCUCCUUUAUCAGCAUUUUGCGAAAUGGUUGGUCUCAUCCCUAAUGAGGCUGAUACAGAUGUCUACAAUGAAGCCGAGAACAUAAUCGCUCAUGCUUUCUCUGAGUGGGAAACAAUUCUUUGCUCAUCAACUAUCAUGGAUUUAGUAUGGGCACAAGUUAUAACCGAUCCAUUUUUAAGGCGACUUAUUUUGAGAUUCAUAUUCUGCCGAUCCGUGAUAUCUUUUUUUUGUCCACCCGAAGAAAGCGAAUUGCAUCUGCCGCUUUGCCUACCCCAUCUACCUACUUCUGUGGCAUCAAAUUCCGAAACUGUGCGCUCUGUAGUUGUGCAACUUGCCAAGCACUUUGACGUUGUUGACUCAUUUCACUUUUCCAAUACAUAAGAUUUUGAUUUGGACUGUAAAUGCAGCAAGUAAAAUGUUAGAAUUAAAUGCAGACUUUGGAAGCUAAAGAUUUUCUGAGCAAAGGGAUAUAAAGCUUAUGGGUUAACCUUUUGGGUGACAUAACAAGAAUAUCAAUGGUGGGGCUUGAACUGUCACGUGGAAGAGCGAUUGUUGAUGAUGGUUGCCUCUGCUUGUUGUGUUGCUUAAUUCGACCCCACCUGCUUCAUUAAUCCAUAUGGCUUAUUUGGCGGUUUGUUCUUUAGUAUUAAAGGUUAGGUUGUGAUGGGUGCUCGACUUUUUUCUUUUUUGUGUUUGGGCGUGACAAGAUAAUUGGUAGUUGAAAAUUAAUUGUAUUUGUUCAUAUAUAUUAUUUUUUGACAGGUUGUAUUUAUUCAUAUAUACUUCAUAGCUUUGAAAAGAACAAAAAGUUGUUAAUUUUUACCCUUUUGAGUAGAACGGUUUUUGAAUGUUGUUUGGGGAGGAUGUAUUCUGGGAAGAACUAAUUAUGUCAGUACUAUAAAGAAAGCAAACUCGCAAUAUCAUUUUUUAUAAUCGAAGUGAAAAUUUAUUGCGCAA